ACAAGAGGUCUUAAUUUUCACAUGAAGACCUUAGGUAAAUAUGCUUCAAACAAUUACCAGUGCUCAUCUCUACAGCACAUGUAAUCCUUUAUCCAGUUGGUGUGAUGUCACUUGUCCAGGUUCCCAGCACUCAGGAGGCUGACUCAUGUGACGUCGCGGUUGUCCUUGUCAUCUGCAUCAGUGAUUUAAUCAUCUGAGGCUUCAUCCAGUGUUGGCCGUCUACCUGCCAGUGAAUAGACUCCGUUGGAAGGAGAGAAGAAUCUUGCAGACAGCUCCUGAGGGCAGUGGCCACUGGCUGUGUCACGCCACAAUGCUGCUGGAGUGUGGCAUAUAGCCAUGGCAUGCGGAAUUGCUUUUCCCUGGACAUGUGUCAUGGACUUUGUGGAGGGCACAGUUUGUAUGUGCCACAUGGUUUAGUGGCUUUCAAAGGAGAUAUAGGAACACAAAGGAGAGGGGCAUAAAACCUUGCCAAGGUCAAUAUGGAAUGAUUUGCAAGUGACAUGGUACUGUUCUCCUUCAAAUAUGCCAAAGUUCGUGGCCUCAGUUUCUCAAAUCCUGAUAUACGCUUCAGGCUGGUGGCAUUGGCGGAGCCUGGUGCUAUAACUAGGAAGGUUCGUGCUAUUCUUACCCUAUUAGGUUCCAGCCAAGGAUGCCCUCACCCAUUGGAAAUGUAUUAAAUGCAAAUUAAAGUCUUAUAUUUUUGUUUUAAAAAAGAAAUGUCUGUAGGAAACAACAGCAAAACAGAGGCCUCAAGGUUACCUCCUGAAGCAGAGCGUCAGGCUCUUUGGGCUGAGCCAGCGGGAGCCAGUAAUGACGACAAGCUGGGCUUUGAGGGGCGAUCAACAGUCCUGAGAGAGAAGGUGUCCCCUGGUCUAGUGCUUGGAAAACAACGAGGCCAUCAGGCAGCCCAGGGCUGCCUCUGUGGCCCACGAGGGCUGGUGUUGGUAGAUUACAGACUGAGUUUUCAUUUCAUCCUGGUCAGUGAUGUGGACAGCCGCAUCUGUGAAUUUGAUAGCGAAUGUCCUGUCAAGUGAACCAAGGCGCCAAUUCAGAAAAUGGGAGCAGGGAGAGGGCCUUCUCUGUAGUAACACUCUGCAAAGCAGCCCAAGUUCUGGGGGAGAAAGCUAGCUGCUCCUGCCCUGGGCAGGCCCACACAGCCCUGCCUUCAGUCUGCAGCUUAGCACUUAGAACUACAGACGUUACCUGCAAUUCUGCAGUCCCAAGGCUCCUACCCAGCCCAGGACACCAGGGAGCCCAGUGUCCCAGCCACACCAGUGGCCAGCGUGAGCUUUCUGGGCACAGUAUACCCCUACUUGUCGUGAACUAUCUGUGGCCUCUUUGGCUUAUGUCUGUAAGUUACGGCUUUGGUUUGUUUGUCCUAAAAAGGAAUAAUAAAACCUUUUUCUCUGC